GAUGAACGCUGGCGGCGUGCUUAACACAUGCAAGUCGAACGGAAAGGCCCUGCUUUUGUGGGGUGCUCGAGUGGCGAACGGGUGAGUAACACGUGAGUAACCUGCUCUUGACUUUGGGAUGACUUCAGGAAACUGGGGCUUAUACCGGAUAGGAGCUCCUUGUGUAUGGUGGGGGUUGGAAAGUUUCGGCGGUUGGGGAUGGACUCGCGGCUUAUCAUCUUGUUGGUGGGGUAGUGGCUUACCAAGGCUUUGACGGGUAGCCGGCCUGAGAGGGUGACCGGCCACGUUGGGACUGAGAUACGGCCCAGACUCCUACGGGAGGCAGCAGUGGGGAAUAUUGCACAAUGGGCGGAAGCCUGAUGCAGCCACGCCGCGUGAGGGAUGACGGCCUUCGGGUUGUAAACCGCUUUCGCCUGUGACGAAGCGUGAGUGACGGUAAUUGGUAAAGAAGCACCGGCUAACUACGUG
rnacentral:rRNA from 1 species